rnacentral:misc_RNA from 1 species
GAUGAAGAACGUAGCGAAAUGCGUUAAGUAAUGUGAAUUGCAGAAUUCAGUGAAUCAUCGAAUCUUUGAACGCACCUUGCGCUCCUUGGCAUUCCGAGGAGCAUGCCUGUUUGAGUGUCAUUAAAUUCUCAAGACCUGUCUGCUUUUUUGAUAGGUAUUGGAUUUUGGGGGUUGCAGGCUGUCUCAAAUAAAUAGCCUUGCUCUCCUUGAAUGUAUUAGUGGAGAAAAGCCAUUGAACUCCAUUGGUGUGAUAAAACCUAUCAAUGCCAGGAGCAAUAUCACUACUUCUCUCUGCUGUCUAACUGUGACUGUCUGUAUUAAUUAGUAUGGAUGGGGACAACUUGACCAACUUGACCUCAAAUCAGGUAGGACUACCCGCUGAACUUAAGCAUAUCAAUAAGCGGAGGA